rnacentral:tRNA from 2 species
GCGGGUGUAGCUCAGUGGUAGAGCCCUUCGUUGCCAACGAAGCUGUCGUGAGUUCGAACCUCAUCACCCGCUCCA